AUUGAACGCUGGCGGCAGGCCUAACACAUGCAAGUCGAGCGGAGCGGCGGAGGGGUGCGUAAUGCCUAGGAAUCUGCCUGUUAGUGGUGGAUAACGUCCGGAAACGGGCGCUAAUAUCGCAUACUCUCAGCUGAGCCUAGGUCGGAUUAGCUAGUGGGUGGGGUAAAGGCCUACCAAGGCGACGAUCCGUAACUGGUCUGAGAGGAUGAUCAGUCACACUGGAACUGAGACACGGUCCAGACUCCUACGGGAGGCAGCAGUGGGGAAUAUUGGACAAUGGGCGAAAGCCUGAUCCAGCCAUGCCGCGUGUGUGAAGAAGGUCUUCGGAUUGUAAAGCACUUUAAGUUGGGAGGCGUUACCAACAGAAUAAGCACCGGCUAACUUCGUGCCAGCAGCCGCGGUAAUUC
rnacentral:rRNA from 1 species